GACGAACGCUGGCGGCGUGCUUAACACAUGCAAGUCGAACGGAAAGGCCCUGCUUUUGUGGGGUGCUCGAGUGGCGAACGGGUGAGUAACACGUGAGUAACCUGCCCUUGACUUUGGGAUAACUUCAGGAAACUGGGGCUAAUACCGGAUAGGAGCUCCUGCUGCAUGGUGGGGGUUGGAAAGUUUCGGCGGUUGGGGAUGGACUCGCGGCUUAUCAGCUUGUUGGUGGGGUAGUGGCUUACCAAGGCUUUGACGGGUAGCCGGCCUGAGAGGGUGACCGGCCACAUUGGGACUGAGAUACGGCCCAGACCCCUACGGGGGGCAGCAGUGGGGAAUAUUGCACAAUGGGCGGAAGCCUGAUGCAGCAACGCCGCGUGCGGGAUGACGGCCUUCGGGUUGUAAACCGCUUUCGCCUGUGACGAAGCGUGAGUGACGGUAAUGGGUAAAGAAGCACCGGCUAACUACGUG
rnacentral:rRNA from 1 species